UACUGGUGUAAGAGUGUAGGCCGUGACAUAGGCAAAUCCGUGUCACAUUAAGGCUGAGACUUGAUGCAUACCCGUUGUGGGGAAUUCAGUGAUCCUAUGCUGCCGAGAAAAGCCUCUAGUGAGUUCAUACACGGCCCGUACCCCAAACCGACACAGGUGAUCAGGUAGAGAAUACCAAGGCGAUCGAGAGAACUGUGGUUGAGGAACUCGGCAAAAUGCCCCCGUAACUUCGGGAGAAGGGGGACCAUGCCCGGUGAACAUCUUCACGGUGGGAGCUGGGUGUGGUCGCAGAGACCAGAGAGAAGCGACUGUUUACUAAAAACACAGGUCCGUGCGAAGACGUAAGUCGAUGUAUACGGACUGACGCCUGCCCGGUGCUGGAAGGUUAAGAGGACCGGUUAGCCGUAAGGCGAAGCUGAGAAUUUAAGCCCCAGUAAACGGCGGUGGUAACUAUAACCAUCCUAAGGUAGCGAAAUUCCUUGUCGGGUAAGUUCCGACCUGCACGAAUGGCGUAACGACUUCUCUGCUGUCUCGACCACAGACUCGGCGAAAUUGCACUACGAGUAAAGAUGCUCGUUACGCGCGGCAGGACGAAAAGACCCCGGGACCUUUACUAUAGCUUGGUAUUGGCGUUCGACUCGGUUUGUGUAGGAUAGGUGGGAGACUGUGAAGCAUGCACGCCAGUGUGUGUGGAGUCGUUGUUGAAAUACCACUCUGAUCGUAUUGGACGUCUAACCUCGGCCCAUGAUCUGGGUUAGGGACAGUGCCUGGUGGGUAGUUUAACUGGGGCGGUUGCCUCCUAAAGAGUAACGGAGGCGCCCAAAGGUUCCCUCAGCCUGGAUGGCAAUCAGGUGUUGAGUGCAAGUGCACAAGGGAGCUUGACUGUGAGACUGACACGUCGAGCAGGGACGAAAGUCGGGACUAGUGAUCCGGCACCGGCAAGUGGAAGCGGUGUCGCUCAACGGAUAAAAGGUACCCCGGGGAUAACAGGCUGAUCUUCCCCAAGAGUCCAUAUCGACGGGAUGGUUUGGCACCUCGAUGUCGGCUCGUCGCAUCCUGGGGCUGGAGUAGGUCCCAAGGGUUGGGCUGUUCGCCCAUUAAAGCGGCACGCGAGCUGGGUUUAGAACGUCGUGAGACAGUUCGGUCUCUAUCCGCCGCGCGCGUAAGAAACUUGAGGAAGGCUGUCCCUAGUACGAGAGGACCGGGACGGACGAACCUCUGGUGUGCCAGUUGUUCCACCAGGGGCAUGGCUGGUUAGCUACGUUCGGAAGGGAUAACCGCUGAAAGCAUCUAAGCGGGAAGCCUGUUCCAAGAUGAGGUUUCUCACCACCUUGCGUGGUUAAGGCCCCCUACAGACCAUGGGGUUGAUAGGCCGGAACUGGAAGCGCAGCAAUGCGUGGAGGUGACCGGUACUAAUAGGCCGAGGAC
rnacentral:rRNA from 1 species